rnacentral:lncRNA from 1 species
UCGGUCCGGGUGGGUCUAAGGAUGAUGAUUGAUCCGCCGUGCGCACGCCAGCGCGUUCCUCUGUGGCAGGAGAGGGGGGCCUGCGUGUGACCGAGCGUGCGUGGGAGGACGCGCGUGUGUGUCUGUGCGCCCUGAUCACGGUGGUCUGUGGGUGGGGCGGAUCGUGCGCGCGCGCCCGAUCUGUGCGCCCCAAGCCAGCAGCCUUGCCUUACUGGUACCAGUACCUGCCUGCUGCUACCAACUAGUCAACAUGUGGCAUCUUCCAGGCCACUGUGAUGAGUCAGGGAUGAGCAUCUGACUCUGGUUGGUCCAAUCAGCUUGUCCAGGGACUUUGGCUGGGAAGAUUGGAAAGGAGGCCAGCUUUUUGGGCUGGGGUUGCUGAGAGAUGUGAUGAUGAAAUGUGUGGCCUACCUGGCAUCUGGCCCCAGCUUCAGCUCCAUUUACUGUCUUGCUCCCCACCCUCACUAGCCUGCAUUGAGGCCUCCUCUGUGCCCCCCAACCCCUGAGUUUCUCAUCCCCAGAGAGCCCAGCUACACAGAAUUGAAGGGUUUUCUCAUUCAUCUUCCUGCGCUCACCCUGAAGACUGGGCCUAUGUCAUCUGCUAACCACUGUCCCCCCAGCACUCACAGUGGAAAAUGGAGUGUUAUGCAGCCCUGCAGCUUGCCUUCUAGAACAGUUCACAGGCAAGGCCUCCCACACUGAACCCUGCUACAGCCAGAUGGUGCCAGCAACACAGAGCUACUUGUUACAUCAGCUCAGACUAAGCCACACCCACAGGAGCAUCUGGUGAUUCCACAGAACCACAAGAGACUUGACCUCCUGGAAAUGAAUUAACCAAGAUUAAUGAAAAAGAUUAAGGUCAUGUGCCCUGUAAAAAUGUCCCUCACUGGAUGAACUGUGACAAAGUAGGGUACUGCGUGGUCUCCCCAGCUGACCCUCUCCAUGGGUCAUUCUUUGCUUUUAUCACUACCUGGCACAAAUCUUUACGUAUUUGUUUAUCGUCUUCCCUCCACCAGUAGUUAGGUGUUUGCCCUUGCUGUAUCCCCUGUGCCUAGAACAGUGCCCAACAUUGGCAGGUGGCCAAUAAUUGCAAAAUAAGCAAAUGUAUGAAUGAACCAUUAAAAAAAAAAAAAAAAAAAAAAAAAAAAAAAAAAAAAAAAA